GCCUGCAUAGCUCAGUCAGUGGAACAUCAGACUUUUAUUCUUAGGGUUCAGGGUUCAAGUCCCUGUUCAGGCG